rnacentral:lncRNA from 1 species
CUACCAACCCUUCCCCUCGGAAUAUGCGUUUAGCACUUUGUUUCGAUUAGUAAUAAAAACUUUCGCAACAAGUAUGUGAGUUCUUUAUGACUAAUGUGAGCCCAUGGUAUAGAUGCACUUUCACCUUCCACCAUUGCUAGCCUCUCUAGUGCCGUGCAAUUCUCGCUGGUAUUCAAACCCACCAAAUUCCUUCCUCAAA